rnacentral:rRNA from 1 species
CCCAGACUCCUACGGGAGGCAGCAGUGGGGGAUAUUGCACAAUGGGGGGAACCCUGAUGCAGCGACGCCGCGUGGGUGAAGGAGCGUUUCGGCGCGUAAAGCCCUAUCGGCAGGGAAGAAGGAGGACGGUACCUGACUAAGAAGCCCCGGCUAACUACGUGCCAGCAGCCGCGGUAAUACGUAGGGGGCAAGCGUUAUCCGGAUUUACUGGGUGUAAAGGGGGCGCAGACGGCAGCGCAAGCCAGGAGUGAAAGCCCGGGGCCCAACCCCGGGACUGCUCUUGGAACUGCGCGGCUGGAGUGCAGGAGGGGCAGGCGGAAUUCCUGGUGUAGCGGUGAAAUGCGUAGAUAUCAGGAGGAACACCGGUGGCGAAGGCGGCCUGCUGGACUGCGACUGACGUUGAGGCCCGAAAGCGUGGGGAGCAAACAGGAUUAGAUACCCGUGUAUG